rnacentral:lncRNA from 1 species
ACUAAUUUAUUUUUAAAAGUAACUAUUUUGUUGGUAAGUUUUGAAAAUCAUAGUUCAGUUCAGUUCACUUAUGUAUUUUUUUAAUCAUCUUAUUUUUUACACAAUUAUUUUUAAAAGACAUUUUGUGGAGUAAUUUUCCUCGACGAGGACGUUACAGAAGUUGUGCCGAGGUCAUGGGUUAAAGGUGAUGAAUGUUUUUGGCCAACAUUCAUUUCCGAGGAAAAAACCCAAAAGGCCAUAAAGAGGCAUGAAAUGCCAGGCCUUGGCUGGAAAAUCUUCAAAAUAAGAACACUCUUUGAAAAAGGUAAAUAAACAAGCAAACAGUUUCUAUAAUUCUAUGUCUUUCCAUGUUAGGACAACAGUUAUGCCUUACUUCCUUUGUCCUUAAUUAUCUCCAUAUAUCUCUUUCUUUUUCUUUUUUUUUUUUUUUAUUUAAUUAGUAGUAUGUACUUCUAGUUAACUAGUUUCUAUUAAUUCUAUGUUCUUCUAUGUUAGGACAACAGUUAUGCCUUACUUCUUUGUCUUAUUAUCUCAUAUAUCUCUUUCUUCUUUUUUUUUUUUUUUAUAAUAGUAGAUGACUUCAGUAAGGCAAGGCAAAAAGCUGAAGGACUACAACAGAAAUGGAACAGCAGUCCUCCAGUCAGAGGAUGAGGGCUCCAUGGCAAAAAGGAGAAGAAAAGCGACACAUUACCCAGGAUUUGAAAACGGCAGUACUGACUCUGAAACUGAGCAGACUCCAAAAAGAAGACCAGAGUCUCGGCCUCGGCCUCGGCCUCAACCUCUCCCUAUUAGCGCUACCUGUAUUACUGCAAAAGCUAUGGGUUGGGAUGGGUUUAGGGUACAAAAAAAGCUUUUGUUCACGCCUGCCCAUUGAAUGAUGCUAUUGCCUUGUCAUUACAAUUUGAACUCUGUCUUCACUAGUUACCCAGGAUUUGAAAACGGCAGUACUGACUCUGAAACUGAGCAGACUCCAAAAAGAAGACCAGAGUCUCGGCCUCGGCCUCGGCCUCAACCUCUCCCUAUUAGCGCUACCCUUCCUAGUCUCCCUCCAGCCCCCCUCUCGGACAUCGCAGUGGACAUGGGUCAGGAGUCUCUGGACAACACAGGACAGGGAACCUAUACAGACAUAAGCUGGAAUGUGAGGAGGGAGUCAGACCCCUUCAAUGCCAGCGGUGGUGGAGAGCCUGGAGGUCACCUCCUCUUCAAGCCAACCUUCAGAGUUGGCCAUGAAACAGGGCCAAUUCCUUGCACACCGGCUCAGCUACAUGGCCUAUUGCUUUUGGAAAACCUAAAGCAGCAGGUUGCCCAACUCGCCACCACCGUGAACCUGCUCAUGGCCAAGGUCAAUAACAGCCUCCAACCAGCAGCCUUUGAGUGGUCCGGGGAAUUUCAAUUCCCCCUGGAAUCAGAUGCAGAGCUGGACCGCUUUGAGGCCUGGCUGGCGGACCCUGCCAACGAUAGGCAGAAACAUGCCCUUGUGAAUACCCUGUCUGCUGUCGGGGGUGUGGAUUUGAAGAGGGUGACAUGGAACAUUCUGUCAUACCUGUUUUCCUGCCCCCUUUCCUGA